UACUAGAGUAGCACUCGCAUAUCAAUAAGCGGAGGAAAAGAAACUAACAAGGAUUCCCUUAGUAACGGCGAGUGAAGCGGGAAGAGCUCAAAUUUGAAAUCUUCAAGGUUCUACCUUGACGAAUUGUAGUUUAUAAGAAGUGUUUUCUGUUAGUGAAGUUGGCUAAAAGUUCUUUGGAAUAGGACAUCAUAGAGAGUGAGAAUCCCGUAUUUGAUCAUUCUUCCUAGCUGUUGUGAUACACUUUCAAAGAGUCGGAUUGUUUGGGAAUGCAGUCCAAAAUGGGUGGUAAAUUUCAUCUAAAGCUAAAUAUUGGCGAGAGACCGAUAGCGAACAAGUACCGUGAGGGAAAGAUGAAAAGAACUUUGAAAAGAGAGUUAAACAGUACGUGAAAUUGUCAAAAGGGAAGCGUUUGACACCAGUGUUGUUUUUCCGAAAAUCAAUUAAAAAUUGAUUCAUGCCUAGGUUGUAUUGACCUUAUCAGCUUGCAAUUUAGUUUUGGGUCUCUUUUUGAUGCACUUUUCGGUUAACAAGUCAACAUCAAUUUCCUUUGCUGUAAAAAGGUAAGAGGAAGGUGGCUUCAAUUUCGGUUGAAGUGUUUAUAGCCUUUUAUCUCUGCAGUCGGGGAGAUUGAUGGUCUGCAGCGUAGAUCCUUCGGGGCUAGAUACAUUUAUGCUAAGUUAUAGCUUUUCAUAGACAACUUGUUGACUAUGCUUAGUCAUGUAGCAUACUCGUAAGUGCUAUUUUACCUACGCUUAGGAUGUUGAUAGUCACAGCGUGUAC
rnacentral:rRNA from 1 species